rnacentral:tRNA from 1 species
GAUUAUUUAACUUUUAGGAAAGUAAAUGUUUUGAAAGCAUUAUAAAGAAGUUCGAAUCUUCUAAUAAUCUAAUUU